rnacentral:snRNA from 1 species
AUCGCUUCUCGGCCUUUUGGCUAAGAUCGAAGUGUAGUAUCUGUUCUUAUCAGCUUAAUAUCUGAUACGGUCCUCAUUGAGGGCCCAGAAUAUUAAACUGAUUUUUGGAACCAGAUGGGGUGCUCGGAGCUUG